UUGUGCUUACUGGGUAUAUGUCUAAUGUAUAGUCUUUAAACACAACUGUUGUGUUUAAAGACUAUACAUUAGACAUAUACCCAGUAAGCACAA
rnacentral:pre_miRNA from 1 species